rnacentral:rRNA from 1 species
UAGUUGGUGGGGUAAAGGCCCACCAAGGCGACGAUCAGUAGCUGGUCUGAGAGGACGAUCAGCCACACUGGGACUGAGACACGGCCCAGACUCCUACGGGAGGCAGCAGUGGGGAAUUUUGGACAAUGGGGGCAACCCUGAUCCAGCAAUGCCGCGUGUGUGAAGAAGGCCUUCGGGUUGUAAAGCACUUUUGUCCGGAAAGAAAUCGCACUUACUAAUAUUAGGUGUGGAUGACGGUACCGGAAGAAUAAGGACCGGCUAACUACGUGCCAGCAGCCGCGGUAAUACGUAGGGUCCAAGCGUUAAUCGGAAUUACUGGGCGUAAAGCGUGCGCAGGCGGUUGUGCAAGACCGAUGUGAAAUCCCCGGGCUUAACCUGGGAAUUGCAUUGGUGACUGCACGGCUAGAGUGUGUCAGAGGGGGGUAGAAUUCCACGUGUAGCAGUGAAAUGCGUAGAGAUGUGGAGGAAUACCGAUGGCGAAGGCAGCCCCCUGGGAUAACACUGACGCUCAUGCACGAAAGCGUGGGGAGCAAGCAGGAUUAGAUACCCUGGUAGUCCACGCCCUAAACGAUGUCAACUAGUUGUUGGGGAUUCAUUUCCUUAGUAACGUAGCUAACGCGUGAAGUUGACCGCCUGGGGAGUACGGUCGCAAGAUUAAAACUCAAAGGAAUUGACG